rnacentral:lncRNA from 1 species
GGUUCUCCAACAAUGGGAGCUCAACUUCUAUAACGGGAGACUCCUUAAAGAAGGUUUAAUGUGAUAAUAACAAGCUGAUUAGUUGAUCAGAAAGCAAAUAUUUUUAUAUUUCUAUAGGAGGCUUUACUCCACUCCACCCCAUCUUUAUAGUGCUUAGUGCUCUUUUGUAGAUACUGAGGAAGAAUAUAGUUCUAAAUGAGACCCAAAAGAUAUUUUUCUCGAGAUGUGAUUGCACAUUCCUAAAUGGCUCACCUAUAUGAGAGCUUCCUUAUAUGGUUGCAGCUAGGAGAUAUGGGCAAAUCCUAGGUGCUCUCACAAACAAUAAGAUAUAUACACAAGGCCA